GAUAUACAUGUCUAGCUAUAAUAAACGAUGACACAUCCAAAAGAAGAGCCAUUCAUCAAAUGAGUUGCGGAUUUGGCAUUUCAUCAAACAAGUAGUUAAUACUAUAAAGGAUGUCUGUUUUUUGUAAGUUUACUACAGUAUAUGAAUACUGAGUCCACUUAUAAGAUUGUACUUUAUAGAGAACUGUAGUAUAUGAAUACUGAGUUGUGAUAUAAGCACACGUUUAAAAUAAGUUAAAAUAUAUAUGUAAAUAUAAGUGACCAGAUAACUCGAUAUAUAUUUUAACUGAAAAUAACCUCAGUCAAUGACCAGAUAACUGGAUGAGGAAUCUGCAAAAAAUUAGUCAACCUCAGUCUAUGACCAGAUUACUGGAUGAGGGAUCUCUUUUUAGUUUCUUUUUAUCUUGUUGUAACUUUAAAAUAAAAUAACGGGAAAUAAAAAAAAGACAUAGAGAUUUUUAUAUUGGUUUAUUCUAACAAGGGCUAAUCCAGUUUCGAUAAAACACGGAAAUCACUGACCUGAAGGUAAUGGCGAAACCUCUGUUAAGUUUUAAGGCUAACCUCUUAUGAAUCACCUAAGAGUAUUCAGGAACUCUUAAAAAUCUCUGCCAAGCUUUAAAACUAAACGUUUGCGAACCCUCUAAAAGUAUUCAGGAACUCUUAAGAACCUCUGUCAAGCUUUAAGGCUAAACGCUUGUGAACCACUUAAGAGUAUUAAGGAACUCUUAAAAACCCUUGAACCUUUAAGGCAGAUUCAACCUAAGAGUUUUCCUGAAAACUCUAUAGAAUCACACCGAGUUUUAUGGUUGAACUCGUAGAACCUUACAAGUGUUGGUAUUGAGACAAGCCUCUCACAACACUUGAACCACUUACAAGAUGUAGAGCUUUUCUUCUAACAUACUCUCAACGUACAAAAGGAAAAGAAGAAGAAGUUGAAGAACUAGAGCACACAACCUUGAGAGCAACUCCCACACAAAGCUUGAACGAGAACUAGAGCUUGAGUAAGAGCAAGAGAGAACGAAAGUAGAGCUUUGAUUCAAGAAGAGCUUUAGUAAAGAUGGCAAGUGAUGGCUUUAGCUCUUGGGUGUGCACCUCCUUUUA
rnacentral:lncRNA from 1 species